UACGUAGGGUGCAAGCGUUUAAUCGGAAUUACUGGGCGUAAAGCGUGCGCAGGCGGUUUUGUAAGUCUGUCGUGAAAGCCCCGGGCUCAACCUGGGAAUUGCGAUGGAGACUGCAAGGCUUGAAUCUGGCAGAGGGGGGGUAGAAUUCCACGUGUAGCAGUGAAAUGCGUAGAGAUGUGGAGGAACACCGAUGGCGAAGGCAGCCCCCUGGGUCAAUACUGACGCUCAUGCACGAAAGCGUGGGGAGCAAACAGG
rnacentral:rRNA from 1 species